rnacentral:rRNA from 1 species
GAUGAACGCUGGCGGCGUGCUUAACACAUGCAAGUCGAACGGAAAGGCUCCUGCUUGCAGGGGUACUCGAGUGGCGAACGGGUGAGUAACACGUGGGUGAUCUGCCCUGCACUUCGGGAUAAGCCUGGGAAACUGGGUCUAAUACCGGAUAGGACGAUGGUUUGGAUGCCAUUGUGGAAAGUUUUUUCGGUGUGGGAUGAGCUCGCGGCCUAUCAGCUUGUUGGUGGGGUAAUGGCCUACCAAGGCGUCGACGGGUAGCCGGCCUGAGAGGGUGUACGGCCACAUUGGGACUGAGAGACGGCCCAGACUCCUACGGGAGGCAGAAGUGGGGAAUAUUGCACAAUGGGCGCAAGCCUGAUGCAGCGACGCCGCGUGGGGGAUGACGGCCUUCGGGUUGUAAACUCCUUUCGCUAGGGACGAAGCGCAAGUGACGGUACCUGGAGAAGAAGCACCGGCUAACUACGUG